CACGGCUCCCCUGGAUCGCUGCAGCACCCACCAGGGGGCGGUAGCCCCCACUUUGGGAAUCACUGCUCUACAUUUAGACAGGCAUCACUCAAAGCACCUUGGUCUCUGAUCUUGUCAGUCAUUGAAUUGGAGAGCUGUACAGACAGAUGUUCAGUACUGGUUUUGAGAGGAAAGCUGUGUCUUCCAUAUUGAUCCUGAGGAAAUGGUGUGGGAGAAGGUGCUGCUAUUCAUCUUAGUAAGGUGCAUGGGUCUUACUCUGGAUGAGGACUUCGGCUCCAAAAGAGGAGAAGUAGGGGCUGUAAGCCUAAGAAUGAGGAAUUUCCUAUCUCAGAUUUGACAAAGGUGAUGCAAGGAUAGCCACGUCUAAGAUACAAGCCCUUUUUUUCUUCUACAGAUAUGCCCAGUUUUGUUCCAGAAUUUUUAAAACCAACAACCCCUUCCCCCUCUUUAAAUAAAUAUAAUUGGAUUAAAACUAUGUGAUAUGGUUAUUUUACAAGGUGUGGUGAAGAAUCCAUCAUCAUAAAAACAUGGAAUAUUUUCUCUCUUUCAUGUUUUCCUUACCUAGUCCAUUUAAAGGCCAAACUUUAUGAAAGCAAGAACUGUCCUAGGUCACACUUUUGAUGAACCAUUGAAUACUUUCUGUUAAAGUUCAAAACUCUGUAUCAUUUUCAUGGCUGAACUAUUUAAAGUAUUUGAUUUUUAUACAAUCAUAAUCUCUGAUAGUGAAAGGAAAACUAGAGCAUGAAGGUCAAAUGAGUGAUUUAUCUUUACCAAAACUGUAUAUUGAAUGAUUUUUUUAUAACACAUAUUUUAUACCUGGGCAGGGAGCAGAAUAUAAUUCUCUUUAGUUUCAGAUAACUCACUACACAGAAGACUUGCUCUAUAGGCUGGUAUUUCAGCCUUAUUAAGCAAAAGGAGCAUUCAAUAUUGAAUUACUGGCAUAGUUUCCUGGGGAUAGUAAUUGGCAGUUACAGGGUUUUUGUAUGUUUCAAUAGAAGCAAUUACUUAGAAUAUAUGAAAUUUUAUAGAGGCAUCUCUCAGACAGUCAUUUUUGUUAUCUGUCCCAUAGAUAUGCUGCUUAUUUUGGGGUCAUGUUUCCUGUUAGUGAAGAUUAACCAAAUAAAAAAGUAUAAGGUUUUUUAAAAGGCACUUUUGGGGCAGCUGGGUAGCUCAGUGGAUUGAGAGCCAGGCCUAGAGACAGGA